rnacentral:rRNA from 1 species
GACGAACGCUGGCGGCGUGCUUAACACAUGCAAGUCGAACGGAAAGGCCCUGCUUUUGUGGGGUGCUCGAGUGGCGAACGGGUGAGUAACACGUGAGUAACCUGCCCUUGACUUUGGGAUAACUUCAGGAAACUGGGGCUAAUACCGGAUAGGAGCUCCUGCUGCAUGGUGGGGGUUGGAAAGUUUCGGCGGUUGGGGAUGGACUCGCGGCUUAUCAGCUUGUUGGUGGGGUAGUGGCUUACCAAGGCUUUGACGGGUAGCCGGCCUGAGAGGGUGGCCGGCGACAAUGGGACUGAGAGACGGCCCAGACUCCUACGGGAGGCAGCAGUGGAGAAUAUUGCACAAUGGGCGGGAGCCUGAUGCAGCGGCGCCGCGUGCGGGAUGACGGCCUUCGAGUUGUAAACCGCUUUCGCCGGUGACGAAGCGUGAGUGACGGUAAUGGGUAAAGAAGCAACGGCUAACUACGUG